UCCGCCCUGGGAAAUCAGCAGACAGCCACGGUUUGAACCCCCAGUGCUCACACAGUGUAGUUCAGACUCUCUCAGACGUGGAGGAACCCAGCUGGACAGCAGGAACCCUUCAUGAAAGCUCCUGACAACAAUCCAACAGCAUACACAUUGCCUGUAAGCUAUCCCAUGGAAUGCCAAGGGAAUUCCAAAGGAUCUGUGGCACCUGCUUCAGUUACUUGGAGAAGGGAGCAGAUCCAUGACAGAGAGAUGAACAGGGGCAGUAAAAGAAAG